rnacentral:lncRNA from 1 species
AAAAAAUCAUCAUUUAUCAUUUUUUGAAGUCACAAUUAACAGAUGAGCACAUAUGGCAGCAUUAUUACACUUACACUACUCAUAAAUCAUAAUAUAUAAACUUUGAAUCAUGAAAACAAAUGGAUUAUCAGCUCACAAACUAAACCAGAAAAGCUUUGAAACAAGCAUGACAUUCACAAUUUAAAGUAUAGCUUCUCCAAAAAAUGGUUCACACGACAUACAUACUACCAUGAUCUUCCUCGAAAUCUUCCAUCUUUCUAGAAUAAUGAAAUAAAAUGUAAGGAAUUACAAUUCCCUGGUACUAAAAUAUGUCGGUCAAAUAUUAAAAACAAAUAUGAAUUGCAUAGACGAAAAGCAUAAUAAUGAAAUAAAGUCAGCCAUCAUUUCUUCUUUUCUUUCCAUUUGAAAGUUCAAAUUUGAACGUACAAGUACAAACUUAAAUGCAAGCCAUGAUUCUGUAAGCACCAGCAACUUGUGCAUUUUCUUCCUUGGCUUACAAUCUUGGAGUAGUUAGAACAACGCUGUCGUUGCGAAACUCCACAAAUUCCUGAUUUUUUUAUGAUAAUAGUUACUGCCCUCGGGUAUGUCAGGGCUCAGUCCUUUAAUCCUUCUUUCUCCCCUUGAUGGCUAGUAGUUUCUGUGCCUGAUGAUUUCAAUUUUUCACUGGCCAAUUUCUUACCCAUUCUUCUUUGCUUUAGCUUGUUCUGUUUUGAGCAAGAAGCUAGUUCUCCUAAACAGUUACAANN